rnacentral:rRNA from 1 species
AUUGAACGCUGGCGGCAGGUCUAACACAUGCAAGUCGAGCGCGAAAGUUCUUCGGAAUGAGUAAAGCGGCGGACGGGUGAGUAAUACAUGGGAAUCUGCCUGGUAGUGGGGGACAACGUUUCGAAAGGAACGCUAAUACCGCAUACGCCCUACGGGGGAAAGGGGGGAUCGCAAGACCUCUCGCUAUCAGACGAGCCCAU